CCUCAAGUUUUUCUACGAUUUCCACAAAUUUAUGAGUGGUAAUCAUAAAAUUAAUUGCGAAACAAUAAAAGUACAAACGCGGAAAAUGUGGGGCAUCAUUUGUUUCGGCCCGAUAUUUAUUUAACCGGUAUAUUUUUAAACAAAAGUUUUGAAUAAGUAUGGCGUCGCUUUUCAUGAUAGUUUGAAUUUAAAGUUGUCCGUUGUGAAUGUUUUGGUUUUGUGGAGUUAACAAAUUAAUAAUAAGUAAGUAAUUCGGGGAAAUCUCGGCACUUUGCUCGCGUCGAUGCUCAUUUGUUGUUUGAAAACUAUCUGGAGAAGAUGACUUGCAUUUUCAAUGUGAUAGUGCCCGGUUUUAACUAUAAACUGUGCUUGAGAUCAAGACACCUAAGAUUUCAUGGAUAUGCCGAUUUGGUUGCUGAGAAUAGAGGCGACUGCAGUGUUUGGUCCCUACUUUGGUUCGUGCCAGUUCUUAGAAGGACCUAAAUUAUAAGCUUAAACGAUUUGAGAGCGGCAGCGUUAUAAAGGUAGGAUUUUAUUUUUUGUGCAUGGGUUUUUGGGACGGUAUCUUUUGAUGUAGUCGUCAAAUCGAAAUGUCUAUUGUGGAUUUUCCAAAGGGUAGAAAUCAUUUUUCGAAUAUGUUUCCUUUUAUUUUGUUAUUAUGGCAAUUUAAAGCGCGCAUGACGCAAAAAUCUCCCCAAUUGUAUUUUAACAUGGCAAAUGAAUGUCAACAAAAUAAUAAUAGUAAAGCAGUAUUAUGCAGUGUGUCGCAAAUUCGAGGGUGACCAUUGAGAUAUAGGAAACAGUAAGACAUACGACCUAGUUUGAAUGAAGGCAAAGCUAUACAUUUUGGGGCCAAAUCUACAGUUGCUCCGACUACUUUUGGAAAAAAAUCGGAAAAACCCGAAACUGGGUAAUUUUUUAUUGACUUCCCCUAGAAGCAGGCAUUAUUUUUUCAUGCACACUUGGGUCUAAGGUAGGACAAUAUUGAUAUUCACCAGUUAGUUGGUGACAAUUAGUGAAACAUCUAAAGCGGAUUUAAAAAAGCGGCAAAGCAUCUCAGUGUCAAGUGUGCAAUCGGUCCAAGUGUUUGCCAGUUAUCACGUUCACAG